UUUUUUUUUUGCAUAAAUCCAGGAUUAGCUGUAGGAGAUGGAACGUUUAUUGAAAGAUGCAAUUUAAGAGAGUGGCAGAAAACACGUUUCAUAACUAAUCUCACUGAGAUUUAUAUAAAAACCAUUUCCAAUUCACCUGUGCACUGGAGGAAACAAAAAAGUAUUAUGAACUAUCACUUUAUUUUGCUUUUCUUUUCCACCCUUUAAUUUUCACUGGCUGCAGUGCUAAACAUGGGACUGAAUUUACUUUUAUCACCAUGCUUAUCUCAGAAGCAGAGGAGCUGGUUGCUUAAGAAGCAAUCUCAAGCUUGUUAAAGCAAAAUGUCAGUCUGGAUUUUAGCAGAAGUAAGUGAGGAAAGAACUGAGACCUAUAACUUUGGAGUUUCCUAGUGGGCAAGGGUUUGCCUGAAGACAGGAAUGAAAUUCCCAUCGCUUUCAAUAUAGCAAGGCUGGAUCUUAGAUCUGUAACCAUGGUGCUUUAUCAGAGGGGAUUUUUUUCCACCUGUUUUUAUGUAGUGAAUCACUAUGAACUGAAUAAAUUACAGGAAGAAUUGCAAGACCUGGAGUUGAAAUCAAUGCUGACAUGAAAUAGGAAGGUGAUUGCAGCUGUCAGGUACCUCCACAAGGAGAAACCGUGACUCAACUUUGAGCGACACUUCAAAUGCGUCAAGCCCUUGUUGUCUGCCUCCUUCCAGCCCCGUGCUGCUCAGCAUAUAAAGCACGUUCCCCGUUGUCAGAGUGACCUUGUCUGCCGUCUGUGCCUUGCCCUCUCCAGCUGAGCUUGUGCAAUAGACUUUUUGUAGCACUGAAUAUAGAGACAUUUGAAAGUUGCCUGCAAAUCCAGCACCACUUCCCUUCUGUGGCACUUGAGACCAAUUAAAAACAGUGGAUAUUCUUUUUUUAUGAAUAAUUUCCAGCAUGUUUUAAAUCUAGAGUUUUUCUGAUGAUCUUAUUUGAAUAGAAAAAAAAUGACAACGUGCUCUACAGUGAAGCACUGAGGGGCUGGUUGCAUACAUCUUACUGUAGACAGCCAGGGGUGGGAGGAUGGUAGAAGAGGUGUGGGAUGGACCCAGGGGAAAUGCCUGCAGGGUGAUGAUAUGAGAAUAAAUUUUUUUUUUUUGAAGGCCUCCUCUUUGUCAGGUGGACCUCCUAAAAUGCCCCCACUGCCAAAACAGUGACUAUAUUAUUUUUUUCAUGCUGAAUUCAUUUUGAAUAGACUUUCAGUUUUCUAUGAGAAAAGCUGGUAUCCUGGACCCUGCUUUUAUCUGCCUCAAACAACAACCAAGGCUUUUAGCCACAGACAGUAAGUAUAUGCUGUUUCCUGCUCAGCUCUUGGCUCUUCUGAGCUACCUGUCUCCUCUUUAGCUUUGCCACCAUACCUGUCCCUCCUUGUCAUUUGUGACAUUUCUCCCACCUCUCUCUUACCCCUUGUUCUACAUCUAUAAUCCAUACCUCUCCCAUCUGCCCUGGGGGUCCCAGGCACAUUGAUCGAAGCAGCAGGCUCAUCAUAAUAAUGCCUAGUGGUGGGAGAAGACUGGAGGAGAAGGUGGAAGUGGCAUGGACAUAUAGAUGUCUGAAAUCAGGUACAACUGCUCUGGAGCCUAAUAACAGUGAGCAUUUCUUGGUAAUAAAUAACUGCAAUAACAAAAGAAAUCCUGAUGUGAAACUUCUUCUAUUGUCUUUGUGUAGUGACUGUGCACAACUGGUGCAUUGAGAUCUCCCAGCCCUGCACUUCUGAAAGAAAAAGUUGAGACCUCCAAAGUAAAAAAUGAGAGCAAAUAGACUAUUAAGAGUGUUUAGAACUUUGCAAUGGAAAUGCCAAGUUUGGUAUGAACAAAACAUGACUGGGGAUAUUAGAUGUAUAGGGGCCAGCGCCAUAUGUUUGCACAGGAAGGUAGCUUGGUGAGAGCAGAGGAUGCCAAUUUAUAGCUACAGCUCCCUGAUGCUGUUCUUAGCCCAGCUCAGGCAAGUUUAAACCCUGUUAAAGGAAAAUUGUAGUUUAGUGAUGAACAUUAAAUGGUUUAAUACAGAAUUAUCAAGACUGAAUAUUGUAUAGCCCCUAUCAAGACUCGUCUGGAAUCAACCUUCUGAUGAAAUUUAUAAUUUCAGGCCACUUGUCAAAAUGGAUAGCUUAGUCUCGCCAACAGAGGAACCUCCCCUGGUCCCGGCCUGGCAUAAGGCCCUUUGUGCUACCUGUGCUCUCACAGUGACCUGGGCUGCUCGCAAACCUUUAAUAUUCUCUUUUCCAAAAUCACCUGGUCAGUUGGUUUGUCUUCUACAACUGCUCAGUCUUGUUCUUUUAUUUAAAGUUUUUAGUGUUUCACUUUACAGUGGCAUUCCCCCAAAAUCUUUGCCUCUCAACAAGGACCAGAUGACCUGUUUUGUCUUUGUGGAAAGACAGAAAAAAGCAUGAUGUCUGAGGAAGAGUGAGUAUUCCUUAUAUGCUGUUUGGUUCAAAUUAGAACAGCCCCAGAGCAUUUCUAAGUGAGGGCAGCUGACAAGUCCUCCAAGGAAUGAAAUGCUGGUUGAAGCGAGCAGCUGGAAUAACUUCUGGUGAUAUGUCCUUGUGUCCUACUGGUACAGGACCAUCUCUGCAUGAAGAGUUCAAAAAGUGCUCAAAAUGAUCUGCCGGCAUUUACUCUGCUAGUGGAAUGCAGGGGGUGAGUUGACCAAGCAAUGGUGAGGAUUUGGUCUGUUCUGGGUGAUGUGCCCUCUUCAUUCAGGCAGGCAGGCCCCCGGAUAACCAAAGGGCCAGCCAAACCUUUGUGGCUGCUCUGACUUUAGCAAAGCGCUUCCCAUGUCCUUCUCUUGCCAUUAACAAUUCUCUGCUGGCCAUGAGCCUGUUGCAUGGGUAAUGCAACAAAGAAGAGUGGGAGUAUAUGAAGCUAGAAACAGCAUUAAGGAGAAUCCUCUGAUCAGGUACAGGCCAGUCAUGGCAUAAUGGGCCUUGUUCCAGGAAGGAGACUUUUAUCGGAAGGUUGUGAGGCUUUGUGCCAUUCUGAGCAGCAGUAACUACUGUUUUUCCUCCCUAAUAAGCAUGAAUAACAAAGAUUCUGAAGCUUAAGUUGGAUUCAUAAGUAAACUGUGAACUGAGAGCAGAACUUCACUCAUGUCACUUUAUUAAUAUUGAUCUGAUUUCAUUACAGUAGGUAACUGAUGUGAAGCUGAAACUGAUGCAAUAUCAAAGAAUGGACACUGUACUUUAACCUGAUACCGGACUUCUUGUUUGCAGUUUGCUUUUACAGCACUGUCAGCACACCUAUGGAGAGGGGCUGAGCUUCAACAUCCACUGAUCCUCAGAGCCACUGAAAGCCUGUGCCUGGAGAAUCCCCUGGCCCACUCCUGGCUUGUGCCAGGGCACAGACCAACCUCGAGGCUUUGCUAAUGGCUUGGGAAUGGGGUCUGCUGCCAGUCACUGGCAUGGCAUGAGGAACCCCAUGGCCUUCCUCAGGCUGCUGAGCACCACUGCAGGCUGAAAAUGCUGCUGCUGUUCACGUGUGUCCCAGGGGAGCUGUGCCUGAGCUGAUGUUUGCACCUUGCCCAGCGUCCUGCAUAGGCAAGUAUGUUGCCCUGGAAGGCAGAUUACCAAAUCUGAGAAGCUGCUGGUCUUUAAAGCACAGCCUGCUGUGCUGGGGCUGUGACUGCCUGGGGAGAGCUGCAGGCAGGGGAUACACUGUUUGCUCUGGGACAAAGCUGCGGUUAGGCGAGCAGACAGCGCGGUGAGCUGCCAUUGCACGAUGGGAUGCUGGGCUCAGAACAGCUCGCUCGGAGCGUGGGAGGGAUGAGUGGGCACAGAGAGGGCUCAUAAUGCCUUACUGGACCCAUGAGCCUCUGAUGCCCAUUCUGAGACAUGGGGUUUCUUGUCUUUCACAAGAUGAAGGAGAAUAAUCUAAUGAGCGCUUUAUCAUGCUAGACAUUUAACAACAUUCUGAAUUUUGAGUAUUGCAGUA